rnacentral:rRNA from 1 species
UACGUAGGGGGCAAGCGUUGUCCGGAAUCAUUGGGCGUAAAGCGCGCGUAGGCGGCCCGGUAAGUCCGCUGUAAAAGUCCAGGGCUCAACCCUGGAAAGCCGGUGGAUACUGUCGGGCUCGAGUCCGGAAGAGGCGAGUGGAAUUCCUGGUGUAGCGGUGAAAUGCGCAGAUAUCAGGAGGAACACCGAUGGCGAAGGCAGCUCGCUGGGACGGUACUGACGCUGAGACGCGAAAGCGUGGGGAGCGAACAGG